UACAGAGGUGGCAAGCGUUGUUCGGAAUUACUGGGCGUAAAGGGUCUGUAGGUGGCCAACUAAGUCAGACGUGAAAUCCCUCAGCUUAACUGGGGAACUGCGUCUGAUACUGGUUGGCUUGAGUGCAGGAGAGGAAUGCGGAAUUCCAGGUGUAGCGGUGAAAUGCGUAGAUAUCUGGAGGAACACCGGUGGCGAAGGCGGCAUUCUGGACUGCAACUGACACUGAAAGACGAAAGCCAGGGGAGCAAACGGG
rnacentral:rRNA from 1 species